AGUAAAAUGGCUGAGGAAGGCGAUAAAUUGUAAAUUUAUUUAUGAGUUGAUCUUUUACUAC
rnacentral:tRNA from 1 species